UACGUAGGUGGCAAGCGUUAUCCGGAUUUACUGGGUGUAAAGGGAGCGUAGGCGGCGCGUUAAGUCUGAUGUGAAAGCCCGAGGCUCAACCACGGGAGUGCAUUGGAAACUGGCGAGCUGGAGUGCCGGAGAGGUAAGCGGAAUUCCUAGUGUAGCGGUGAAAUGCGUAGAUAUUAGGAGGAACACCAGUGGCGAAGGCGGCUUACUGGACGGCAACUGACGCUGAGGCUCGAAAGCGUGGGUAGCAAACAGG
rnacentral:rRNA from 1 species